rnacentral:rRNA from 1 species
CCAAUAGCGUAUAUUAAAGUUGUUGCAGUUAAAAAGCUCGUAGUUGAAUUUCGAGAUCAAAUUGUUGGUCGUGCCUUGGUACGUACUGGCAUUAUUGGUUUCUCCCUUCUGACGAACCAUGAUGUCAUUAAUUUGGUGUCAUGGGGAAUCAGGACUGUUACUUUGAAAAAAUUAGAGUGUUUAAAGCAGGCUCACGCUUGAAUACAUUAGCAUGGAAUAAUGAAAUAGGACGUUUGAUUCUAUUUUGUUGGUUUCUAGGAUCGACGUAAUGAUUAAUAGGGAUAGUUGGGGGCAUUAGUAUUCAAUUGUCAGAGGUGAAAUUCUUGGAUUUAUUGAAGACUAACUACUGCGAAAGCAUUUGCCAAGGAUGUUUUCAUUAAUCAAGAACGAAAGUUAGGGGAUCGAAGACGAUCAGAUACCGUCGUAGUCUUAACCAUAAACUAUGCCGACUAGGGAUCGGAUGAUGUUAAUUUUUUAAUGACUCAUUCGGCGCCUUACG